rnacentral:rRNA from 1 species
GUGGAUUAGAUACCCUAGUAGUCCACGCUGUAAACGAUGGAUACUAGCUGUUUGAGCGCUUUAGGCGUUUGAGUGGCUAAGCGAAAGUGAUAAGUAUCCCACCUGGGGAGUACGAACGCAAGUUUGAAACUCAAAGGAAUUGACGGGGGCCCGCACAAGCGGUGGAGCAUGUGGUUUAAUUCGAUGAUACGCGAGGAACCUUACCAAGGCUUAAAUGUAGAUUGACGUAUUUGGAAACAGAUAUUUCUUCGGACAAUUUACAAGGUGCUGCACGGUCGUCGUCAACU